rnacentral:lncRNA from 1 species
UCUUUUACCACAGAUUCCACAACCAACUUACAUUCUACUAAAAUACCUUAUUCAUGUGUAACUAAAGAUUAAAAAGUUCUUUUAUGAAUUACUUGGACACUUAACAGUUUAUCUGUUUGCAUAACCCCUCAUGUUCUAUGGGAUCCUACUUCCAGUAACUCAUUAUUUGGGAGUGACCUCUCUAAAAAGAUUUUUGUUGUAGAAAAUCGAACUGAAAACUGUCUCAAGAUAUUUGGGGAUGAUGACAAUAUAUUUUAUAAAGUUACUCAAAAAAAGGUCUGAUGACAUAAAGAUGCCUUCAGGUUCACUAAAAACUGUUCAUAAAUCUUGUGCUAUGAAAGAAGCCAUAGGUAACCACAGUGAGAAAACUUUCUCUAAUGAUAAUGCUGAAGAAUUAAAGAUUACAUCUGCUGCCCCUCAGAAGAAAGGUCCUACAGACAGUUCAUCGCAUGCAGCACACUCUCAAACUCAUUGUUUAUAUUGUCACAUAUGUGUAUUUAUUUGUGUAUGUUUGCAUUAUAAAAACUGAAUACAACUCGAGUCUAUAUUGUUGUUUUUUGUGUACAUAGUAUCCAUUGAUGCUGGGUUUUCCACAAUCCACUGCUCUCUUCAUUGUGUCCAAUUUUGGUUUUCAAUAAUUGUCUCCAUUUUUCUAUAUUAAAAAAAAAGCUUCUGUGAUUAGGGGUGAUAGCCCCACUUCACUUACUUAUGAGUAUAAGAAUAAUAUCUAGAAAUACCUAGAAUGUUGUAAGCAAUUGGGCUGAUCUAGUAAAUUGGUAUGAUAAAUUUUAAGGUCCAUCACCUCACUAACACCAUAAGUAUGACUAGAUUUCUAAUAGCAGACGUGAUUUCAAUCCUGUUAAGAGAAAAUAUCCCACUCCUUAAAGUAUUUGAAGUGACUUUCUCCCAAAUCCAGAUGUUUGGGGUAGCCCUUGGUUUUCUCUCAGGUUGAGAGAUUGUGUGCUAGUUGCUAAAUAAAUCUCACAGGGAUGGCUCA